rnacentral:rRNA from 1 species
CAGUCGAACGGACUCAUAUUGAAACCUAGUGAUUUAUGAGUUAGUGGCGGACGGGUGAGUAACGCGUGGAUAACCUACCGUAUACCGGGGGAUAACACUUAGAAAUAGGUGCUAAUACCGCAUAAGCGCACGGCUCCGCAUGGGGCAGUGUGAAAAACUCCGGUGGUAUACGAUGGAUCCGCGUCUGAUUAGCUAGUUGGCGGGGUAACGGCCCACCAAGGCAGCGAUCAGUAGCCGGCCUGAGAGGGUGGACGGCCACAUUGGGACUGAGACACGGCCCAAACUCCUACGGGAGGCAGCAGUGGGGAAUAUUGCACAAUGGGGGAAACCCUGAUGCAGCGACGCCGCGUGAGUGAAGAAGUAUCUCGGUACGUAAAGCUCUAUCAGCAGGGAAGAAAAUGACGGUACCUGACUAAGAAGCCCCGGCUAACUACGUGCCAGCAGCCGCGGUAAUACGUAGGGGGCAAGCGUUAUCCGGAUUUACUGGGUGUAAAGGGAGCGUAGACGGCAGCACAAGUCUGGAGUGAAAUCCCGGGGCUUAACCCCGGAACUGCUUUGGAAACUGUGCGGCUGGAGUGCAGGAGGGGUAAGCGGAAUUCCUAGUGUAGCGGUGAAAUGCGUAGAUAUUAGGAGGAACACCGGUGGCGAAGGCGGCUUACUGGACUGUAACUGACGUUGAGGCUCGAAAGCGUGNGGAGCAAACAGGAUUAGAUACCCUNGUAGUCCACGCCGUAAACGAUGAUUACUAGGUGUCGGGGGACCAAGGUCCUCCGGUGCCGGCGCAAACGCAUUAAGUAAUCCACCUGGGGAGUACGUUCGCA